UCCUACGGGAGGCAGCAGUGGGGAAUUUUGGACAAUGGGGGCAACCCUGAUCCAGCCAUGCCGCGUGAGUGAAGAAGGCCUUCGGGUUGUAAAGCUCUUUCAGCCGGAAAGAAACGGUCACGGUGAAUACCCGUGACUAAUGACGGUACCGGCAGAAGAAGCACCGGCUAACUACGUGCCAGCAGCCGCGGUAGUACGUAGGGUGCGAGCGUUAAUCGGAAUUACUGGGCGUAAAGCGUGCGCAGGCGGUUUUGUAAGACAGAUGUGAAAUCCCCGGGCUUAACCUGGGAACUGCAUUUGUGACUGCAAGGCUAGAGUACGGCAGAGGGGGGUAGAAUUCCACGUGUAGCAGUGAAAUGCGUAGAUAUGUGGAGGAAUACCGAUGGCGAAGGCAGCCCCCUGGGUCGAUACUGACGCUCAUGCACGAAAGCGUGGGGAGCAAACAGGAUUAGAUACCCUGGUAGUCCACGCCCUAAACGAUGUCAACUAGGUGUUGGGGAAGGAGACUUCUUUAGUACCGCAGCUAACGCGAUAAGCUGACCGCCUGGGGAGUACGGUCGCAAGAUUAAAACUCAAAGGAAUUGACGG
rnacentral:rRNA from 1 species